CCUAGACCCACAAACCAUCCCAUACUCCCUGUGGGCAAAUACCAUUCCCCAGUCAACUGAAGCACACCUGCUGCAGUGUUCAAAGUUUCUAUUACACUCCUGGCAACUUUGGAGACCACUCAUCGUAGACACCGCACUACUCUUUAGAUUAGUGCCUAUAGGAAUGCUCACAGCCCUCUCCCCUGACCUGUCAGUUGUACGAUGGAAAGCAAGGGGCAUCCAUCAAAUUGGUGACCUGCUGGUAGGCAAGGAGAUAAGGCAAUUCCCUGACCUCAAAGUAGACUUCUCACUACCAGCAAGAGAUUUGUAUUUAUACCUGAGGGUAAAAAAAAAAUCUUACAAAUGAGAUUACAUAGCAUAUCAGGUCACCCCAAAGAGACCCCACUCUCGCCGAUCCAAAUACUGUCACCCAAACCAAUUAAGC